AAUAGCUUCAGCCUCGCUCGCAACGGAAGUUCCUGGUCGUCGCUGUUUUAUAGAUACCCUGACGGCGAGAGGUAGUACAUAGGGGUGACACUCGAACAGAAUAGAAGUAAAUGUAGCAGAGUAACACCAUAACAUCCACAGGUUAAUGAUGGAAGAUGACAGCAAUCCACAGAAUCCUUUCUCUGUCACUGAAACAAAUGAAAUCUGUUAAAGGGAUUUGCUGGAAACCUCAAGAAACAUUUUUAUUGACACCCUGGAAAUAGGUGAUCUCAUGAACCCACCAUUGGUACCAUUGGUUAUCUUCAGAAACAAAUGAAGAUUCACAGUUGAAUCAUGCCUUAUGAAUGUGUUGAAUGUGGGAAAACAUUUACAGCGAUCAUAUACUCUUAAGGUACAUAUGAGGAUUCACAGUGGAAUCAAGCCUUAUGAAUGUGUUGAAUGUGGGAAAACAUUUACACAUUCAUAUACUCUUAAGGCCCAUAUGAGGUUUCACAGUGGAAUCAAGCCUUAUGAAUGUGGUGAAUGUGGGAAACAAUUUACAGCAUCAGGGUAUCUUCAGAAACACAUGAAGAUUCAUAGUGGAAUCAAGCCUUAUAAAUGUGUUGAAUGUGGGAAAGAGUUUACACAUUCUAAUUGUCUGCAGGCACACAUGAGAAGUCACAGUGGAAUCAAGCCCUAUGAAUGUGUUGAAUGUGGGAAACAAUUUACACAAUCCAGUAGCCUGCAGGCACACAUGAGAAUUCACAGUGGAGUCAAGCCCUAUGAAUGUGUAGAAUGUGGGAAAAGAUUUACAUAUUCAGGUCAUAUGCAGGCACACAUGAAGAUUCACAGCGGAAUCAAGCCUUAUGAAUGUGUUCAAUGUGGGAAAAGUUUUACACAUUCAAGUACUCUUCUGAAACACAUGAAGAUGCACAGUGGAAUCAAACCUCAUCAGUGCAUUGUGUGUGAGAAAACAUUUGCACAAUCAGUUCAUAUGCAGGAACACAUGAGGAUUCACACAGGAAUCAUGCCUUAUGAAUGUGGUGAAUGUGGGAAAAAAUUUACACUUUCAAGUAAUCUGCAAAGACAUAUGAGGAUUCACAGUUGAAUCAAGCUUUAGGAAUCUGUUGAAUGUGGCAAAAGAAUUUAUGCAUUCCAGUAGUCUGCAGGCACACAUUAGAGUGCAUGGUGGAAUCCAGCCUUGCUAAUGUGUUGAAUGUGGAAAAAACAUUAACACAAUCAAAUAUUCUGGUGACACACAUGAGAAUUACAGAAUCAGGUAAUCUGCAGACACAUGAGGAUUCACAGUGGAAUCAAACGCUAUGAAUGUGUUGAAUGUGGGACAAAAUUUACUAGUGAGGUCAUCAUCAGAAACACAGGAGGAUUCACUAUGUAAUCAAGCAGUGAAGACUUUUCACUGUGUUAAGUUUGGGAUAAGAUGUACACAGUGAUACCCCUACGAUUUUAUAUUCCUUC